ACACCCUACCAGAGCAGCAUGUAGCAGGCCCCCGUGGAGGAUUAACACAGUGGCUCAACACCGGGAAGGAACUGGCUCUUGGAGUCCGGACAUCUGAAACUUGAAUUAACAAGCCAACAUCAGUCUCCAGAGUGAAUCCAAGGAGAGGACCCAAGACAUUCAUGUUCUGUGAUGUGGUGACAUGUUACCUGUCAUCUCUGAUGCACAACUCCUAAAGUGUUUGCAUCUGGGGCAGUUGUACAGAUUGCAGAAGCUAAUACUCAAGAUGUUCUCCAAGGCCAACUACUCAUCAGUUUAUUCAUGUUUCUGGGAUUGGAUUCAUGAACUCAUCCUUUGAACUAUUUCAACAAGCUUUUUCAUGUAACUAAUCUGCGGAAGGUAGAAAGGGUAAAACUGUUGGGUGCUAAAAUGACAACUGGUUCAAGAGCUCCCAAGAUGGUGGCGGGCCACUUCCAAAAUGGUGGCAGGCCACUUCCAAGAUGGUGGCAAGCCUCGCGUUCUCUGGCCUGGGGUUCUUGGCCUCACGGAUUCCAAGGAAUGGAAUCUUGGGCCAUGCAUCAAAAGAAGAAGGAAGAAGAAAGGGGAUAUAAUGAGAAUGAGGAGCAUCAGAUAAUUAGGCAGCAGUCCAACAAUUAGGUUUUGUGGAACUUUUACUAUGUCAUCUAUUUAUUGGAAUUCCCCCUGGAUACCAGGACCCCCUCCAGCAGAGCUUAAAGUUAUAGUGACAGGAAGUACAAAUUCCGUAUGUGGAUCCCUGGAAGUGUGAUGAGAGGAACCACUGUUUCCAAGAUCUAUUUAUUCUAUUUAUUAGGCCUAUAAAAUCAUGUAAUGACCAUGGCUUCAACUAGACUCU
rnacentral:lncRNA from 1 species